rnacentral:SRP_RNA from 1 species
UGCCGGGUCCCUCCGGGCAGGGACUGGUGAACCCCGCCAGGCCCGGAAGGGAGCAACGGUAAGCCAGAAACCCUGCGCCGGUAGGGGGUGCCCGGUUUAC